AUUGAACGCUGGCGGCAGGCCUAACACAUGCAAGUCGAGCGGAGCGGCGGACGGGUGAGUAAUGACUAGGAAUCUGCCUGGUAGUGGUGGAUAACGUCCGGAAACGGGCGCUAUCUCCGCAUCCUAUCAGCUGAGCCUAGGUCGGAUUAGCUAGUUGGUGGGGUAAAGGCCUACCAAGGCGACGAUCCGUACCUGGUCUGAGAGGAGGAUCAGUCAGACUGGAACUGAGACACGGUCCAGACGCCUACGGGAGGCAGCAGUGGGGAAUAUUGGACAAUGGGCGAAAGCCUGAUCCAGCCAUGCCGCGUGUGUGAAGAAGGUCUUCGGAUUGUAAAGCACUUUAAGUUGGGAGGCGUUACCAACAGAAGAAGCACCGGCUAACUCCGUGCCAGCAGCCGCGGUAAUUC
rnacentral:rRNA from 1 species